CUUUUUUUUUUUUUGCUAGUUACGCUGUUUGUCGAAGAUUCUAAAAUUUAAUAUGGGUUACAGGAAUUUGCAACCCUAAAGAAAUCACUGUUCCAAAAUUGAAAGCCUACCUACUGAUUUGUAACCCCAAGCAAAUCACUAAAGAAGAAACUGAUGUAUCGACUCACCAAUCAAAAGUUUCCCUAUGCAGAGAUAGACAUGCUCUAGGGAGUAACAUGAAGAAAACAUAGAAUCAGUAUAUAUAGGGAGUAACAUGAAGAAAACGUAGAAACAGGUCCCCUAGAAAUGCGUAUGUUGAAGGCGAUGCAUCAAGUGCGAGUUAUAUCCUAGCAGGCGCAGCAGUCACCGGUGGCAUGGUCACAGUUGAAGGUUGCAGCACAAGCAGUUUACAACAUCAAACUGGCUGUAGUUGCUUCUCGUAAGGAACACAUAAAUCUGGAGCAGUGGCUAAACGAAAAUCUGAGCACAUACAAGGAUACUUUUUUCGAGGAUUGCCUGCAAGUUCUUAAAAGAAAUACCUUCUGCAGCAACAAAUGAUGCAUCUGCCAAUCCUUUCCAACAUUCUAUUGAAAAUCCUUUUGCAAAUUUUCUAUACAUUAAAUACCAUUGAAAAUCCUUUUACAGAUUUUCUAAGGAACA